rnacentral:rRNA from 1 species
CCUACGGGGGGCAGCAGUGGGGAAUAUUGGGCAAUGGGCGCAAGCCUGACCCAGCAACGCCGCGUGAAGGAAGAAGGCUUUCGGGUUGUAAACUUCUUUUAUCAGGGACGAAGCAAGUGACGGUACCUGAUGAAUAAGCCACGGCUAACUACGUGCCAGCAGCCGCGGUAAUACGUAGGUGGCAAGCGUUAUCCGGAUUUACUGGGUGAAAAGGGCGUGUAGGCGGGAGGGCAAGUCAGAUGUGAAAACUAUGGGCACAACCCAUGGCCUGCAUUUGAAACUGUACUUCUUGAGUGCUGGGGAGGCAGGCGGAAUUCCGGGUGUAGCGGUGAAAUGCGUAGAGAUACGGAGGAACACCAGUGGCGAAGGCGGAUUGCUGGACAGUAACUGACGCUGAGGCGCGAAAGCGUGGGGAGCAAACAGGAUUAGAUACCCGAGUAGUC